GUUUGUGUGUGUGUGGGGGGGGGCAGUAGUGGCCACUUCUGAGACAAGGGUUUUGAAGGGUGGUUUUAAAGGGGUUUGGCUCGAGUUGGAGGACCCUCCAGGCUCUGGCAAAGGGUUUGACAACAGUUAAUGGGUCACACUCUGGCUUGUCAUAUCCUCAGGAAAAGUGGAUCGGUUUUCUAAGUCCACGAGUGACAGGAUUAUUGUGUAAGUGCUUCCGAAACACUUUCAUCUCGACUAUUCUCAUCUGAAGCUGUUGGAAGGGGCUUUGCCAAGAAAAGCAAAGAAUAAAACUGAAACAUACCCAGUGCGAACGUCCUGGGUUUCACAAGCUCCACGCCAGGGACUUUGGAUUUUAAACAGUAUGCCCUCAGAGCAGGUUGGGUGCAGGGACGGAAGCUCAUCACAGGACCUUUACACAGCGGAAAGGAAGCAGAGGGUUCAAACCAUGUUUCUUUGCCCCGGGCUGAGCCAUCACUCAUGGAGAUUUUCCACUCCAGCCAGGAGUGUCAGACCUCUUCAGAGACAAGCCCAUCCAAGGGCUAUAUUCUGGGCCAGGCAGUGACCUAGUUUUAUGCACGACCCACGGGAUAAAUGCAUUUUGUUCCCCAGCCUCCUCUAAAAAGCCAGAUGCUUUCUCAGUAUUUCUCUUGAUCCUAACAUGCUAAGUGUCUCCUAAGAGUGGGUUGUGGUCUCCCUGCACCAGCAUUAUCUGGAGCAAGUGUUAAAAAUGCAGAUUCCUGCCCCCAACCACCCUGACCUACAGAAUCAAAGUUUGGGGGAUUCUCACCCUGAAUCUGUAUUCUUAGGCACAGAGAGGUUUGAGGAGCCCUGAGAAAGGUGAAGAGGUGUGGUUUGACUUUUUUUCCCUUUAGCCCUGCCCCAGCAGCAAUACUGCCUUGUGUGCUCCUCCUCUGGACCCCCAGACUGGAAACCGGGACACUGCGGGGGCCAUGUACAUAGGACCCCUUCACAUCCAACCAUCUCCUGGGACUCAUUUAAUCAAUGUCUUUGGUAAUCAAGUACGGUCUCCUCAUUACACCUGUCCACACCAGCCCCUGUCCUGUCCAUUCUGUCCUUUGUCUCUGCCCCCACCCACCCACCUUGGGUCUUCUUGUGCAGCCCUUUUCCUCUCAUCCCUAAGUGCUCUACAGACUGGGAUCAGGGUACUUCUUUUUUUGCUAUAAACAGACUGACUUUUGUCAUUGGCAGUUUCUUUGGAAAUUCUUUCUAUCCUUAGCACAAUUUCCAUUCCAACCAGGAGUGUCUCAGAGAGUGUCUGCAGAGAACCAGAAUCUCUGCAGGGAGAAAUCCAUGCGCAGACUACAUUCUGGCAGGACCCACUGAUGGCAGAAAGUGUGAAGUGGGACAUCUGUCUCCAGCAUGUUUACUUUCCCUCUGACAAGUGUCGUUGAUCCUGAUCUUUUUGUUGUUCAUUCACUAAGUCGUGUCCAGCUCUUUGUGACCUCAUGGACUGCAGCAUGCCAGGCUCCUCUGUCCUUCACUGUCUCCCAGAGUUUGAUCAAAUUCAUGUCCAUGAGUCAGUGUUUCCUGAUCUAUCACCUGCAAACUGGAGGCCCAGGAAAGCCAGUGGUGUUGAUCCAGUCUAAACCCAAAAUCCAGAGAACCAGAGGAGCCAAUGGUGUGAGUCCUAGUCCAAGUCCAGUGACCCAAGAACCAGGAGUGCAGCUAUCAGAAGGCAGAAGAUGAAUGUCUCAGUUCAAGCAGAGAGCAAGUUCAUUCUUCCUCUUUUUGUUCUAAUUAGGCCCCCCACAAAUGGGAAGAGACCCAUUCAUGUGGGGGAGGGGGAUCUUCUUCACACAGUCAAAUGCUAGUCUCUUCCAGAAACAUCUUUACAGACACACCCAGUAAAUAGUCUUCUGGGCAGCCCAGUCAAAUUGAUAUAAAAUUAAUCAUCAAAAUGAUUAUAUAGGAUAAAAAUAAAUGGAUGCCAGGAGAUGAAAGAGACGCAGAUUCAGUCCCUGGGUUGGGAGGAUCCCCUGGAGGAGGGCAUGGCAACACACUCCAAGAUUCUUGCCUGGAGAAUCCCCAUGAACAGAGGAGCCUGGUAGGCUACAGUCCAUGAGGUCACAAAGAGUCAGACACAACUGAACGACUUAGCACUCACAAGGAAACCUUACGUGACUUAAUCAAAUCCUUAGAUGUAAAGAACCUUGGGCAAAUCCAAGUUCUUGUUAGGGAUGCCAAUCUAGUAAUGGUCCUUUAAGUUCCAGACGACACAUAGAAGAAGAUGCGGAAUCCCAUAACUCCCUCUUCCUGUAUCUCUGAGACUCCGAGCAGGAUAAGGCAGUCUAAACACAAUGAUGCACUUUGUAGAGCUGAAGAAAAAGAAUCAAAAAGAGAACUAAACUGGGAGAAUCGAUAUACUGGGUGUGAUUUAGAACAAGAAGAGAACAAACUUGAAUUGGAAUAUUAAAGCAUGCUUGGCGCCUGAAAGGAUCUGGGUUAGCCAUUGCAGAUGGCUCAACUGAAGGGCUUUGGCCUGAGGUGGCUUCUCUUCUGUGACUGUGAGAAGAAGGUGAAGCAUAGUGCCCAGGAGUGAAGGCAAAAUUCAAAAUGGUAUAUCUUCAGAAUAAUUUCUUAGAAGUGGAUUUCUGGGCCAACAGUCAUUCUAAAAUGAGCACUCACUCACUUAGAACGAGGAAAAGUAAAAUGAAUUUGGUCCAACACAUACUCCAGAGCAGAGCCAAGAUUUAAAUCAGGCCCAUCAGACAUGGACGCUGCCUUUAUUCAACCACAUCCGGUGUCUCAAACUCAAGAGACUACAGGAAUUGGCAUUUGAAGAAUUUGACAAUGAUCUCUGAGGAGCAAGAAGAGGGAAGUUCAAGCAUGAAUAUUACACCUUCACCUCUUGUGUCUGGAUGAUUAAAUUGGUCACAG
ensembl:lncRNA